GACGAACGCUGGCGGCGUGCUUAACACAUGCAAGUCGAACGGAAAGGCCCUGCUUUUGUGGGGUGCUCGAGUGGCGAACGGGUGAGUAACACGUGAGUAACCUGCCCUUGACUUUGGGAUAACUUCAGGAAACUGGGGCUAAUACCGGAUAGGAGCUCCUGCUGCAUGGUGGGGGUUGGAAAGUUUCGGCGGUUGGGGAUGGACUCGCGGCUUAUCAGCUUGUUGGUGGGGUAGUGGCUUACCAAGGGUUUGACGGGUAGCCGGCCUGGGAGGGUGACCGGCCACAUUGGGACUGAGAUACGGCCCAGACUCCUACGGGAGGCAGAAGUGGGGAAUAUUGCACAAUGGGCGGAAGCCUGAUGCAGCAACGCCGCGUGCGGGAUGACGGCCUUCGGGUUGUAAACCGCUUUCGCCUGUGACGAAGCGUGAGUGACGGUAAUGGGUAAAGAAGCACCGGCUAACUACGUG
rnacentral:rRNA from 1 species